AGCGCAGGCGGGAAGACAAGUUGGAAGUGAAAACCAUGGGCUCAACCCAUGAAUUGCUUUCAAAACUGCUUUUCUUGAGUAGUGCAGAGGUAGAUGGAAUUCCCGGUGUAGCGGUGGAAUGCGUAGAUAUCGGGAGGAACACCAGUGGCGAAGGCGGUCUACUGGGCACCAACUGACGCUGAGGCUCGAAAGCAUGGGUAGCAAACA
rnacentral:rRNA from 1 species